CGCACAGUAGCUUAAUGUAAAGCAUUAAACUUUUAAUUUAAAUAUAAGUAAUUCUUUUGUGUGG
rnacentral:tRNA from 1 species